UUGCUGUGUGUGAAAUCGUGGCAGCCUGCCCUUUCAAGGUUGCUUAAUUAUUUUUCUUUUGUGACUUGCUGUGCCAUUCAGAUUAUACUUAGCAACAGAGGGAAAGGAAACAAGGCUUCACAGCAGAUUGUAUUACCAAUUAAUUGAACGUCCUGUGAAAUAAACAUUGUGGCUCGGAUGGGAUUAGAACGUGAGGAAUUUGUGGGCCUUUUCCCACCUCUUGAGCUGAAGCGAGCCCUUCCAAGGCUAUUCCUCAAUCCUCAGUCCUGAUGCCUUGAAGGCAUCGUGGAAUGGGAAAAUUGAGGUAUAGGAAGAAAGGAGAAUGCCUGAAGAUUGACAGGAGAUAUCUUCCCAGCACAUAAUGGAGAGUGAAGCAAGAAUGAGCAAAUGCUUUCAUUUUAUCUGAUUGUUCUGUGGUUUCACAUUUCAUAAAAGGUGUAAAUCCGUCUCCAGGCUGCCACACCUUUACACGAGUUUACAGUUUCAAAGUAGUUGUAUUUUCUUUCAAAGAGUACUAUUUAAAAAUAUUUAUUUCAAAAUUAAAUUAAAACUCUGAAUUAAUUUUUAUAAUAAUGAUGAUCAUACAAUUGUGCUGCAACUUUUGGAAAAGGAAGAACAAAAAUCCAAGUGGUAAGUAUAUGCUAGGUUACACUUAAUUCACAAGAUUUAGGCUUAAUUCAUAUUAGACUUUAUGAAAAUGGCAUGUUUCAUAUUGGGUUAUUAUUUUUUGGUGUUUUUCAUUCAACAAUUUCUAAAUUUAAUUAUAAUCAGUAUCUUCAUAAAUGCUGCUAUAUUUUUGCUUUACAUCAUUUUAUUUAUUACAAAUAGCACUGGCACACACUGGCAUAUAUGCAUCUUGAUUCAACCACAGCAUAUAAAGAAUUUUGAUUUUAUUGCAUAUUUCUUUGUUUGCAUUUUUUUUAUCUCCAUGUAUGUGCACAGUGCACAUCAAUUGUCUGCAAGAAAGGAAAAUAAGACUCAAGCUAAAACUGAGCCUAAUUCUGUGUGCUCAGUGACUUGAACAAAACCCUAAAAUCAAUACAUGGAAGAAAAAGGCAAGCAUGUUGAUGAUACCUCAAAAUCACAAUCUAAUAAUUCAGAGCCUUAUCAUACAAAGGAAAAAUAAAAGAAACUGAGUAUUAUUAUCACCAGAAUUAUCUGCAGGCCUUACAUGGACCCUGAUAUUAUUUGUGACCCUUUCCCCAGAACUGUGGAAUUCUGUAAAAUUAAGACUUGUCCAUAAUUUUAUAUUCUCCAUAAAAAAUUCAACCAUAUUUGCUGAAUAGUCAAGAAAAAGUGGUUUGUUCUUCUAUGUGUGUAAUAUGCACUUGAACUUCAAUAUAAGAGCCUAAAUUAUUGUUACAUGAAAAUAAAU